CACUUUGUCUUUAUGGCAAAUGUGAGAUGCAGUGUAUGGAAUGUUAAAUUUCUAGUAUGAGAAAUUAACGAUUUAAGUCCUUCUUAAAUGAGGCCAUUUACCCAUAGAGGGUGCCAGGCCCGUAUAACGUUAAUGAUUACUAGAUGACAUUUCCAAAGAGUCGUGUUGCUUGAUAGUGCAGCACUAAGUGGGUGGUAAACUCCAUCUAAAACUAAAUAUAACCAUGAGACCGAUAGUAAACAAGUACCGUGAGGGAAAGUUGAAAAGAACUCUGAAUAGAGAGUUAAAUAGUACGUGAAACUGCUUAGAGGUUAAGCCCGAUGAACCUGAAUAUCCAAUAUAGAAAAUUCAUCAUUAUGAUUUUAAUAUUUUAAUAUUAUAAUAAUGGUGUGCAUUUUUUCUAUAGAGGACAUUGUAAUCUAUUAACAUAAAUAAUAUUUAUCAUAAGAUCAAUUGCAUCAGUUUAUUUAAAUUAUUUUGCUUGCAAUUUAACAUAGAAUAAAUGCUUUUGAUUUGAUAAAGUGUUGAUAGAUUUAUUAUAUAUAGUGCUUGAAUAUUUAUAUUCUAUAAUAGCAUAUUAAUUAUUAAUUUUUAUGUUUAUUUAUAUGCACUUAUAUGAUUAACAAUGCGAAAGAUUCAGGAUACCUUCGGGACCCGUCUUGAAACACGGACCAAGGAGUCUAACAUAUUUGCAAGUUAUUGGGAAUAAAAACCUAAUAGCGAAAUUAACAUAACUAAAUAAUGGGAUUAGUUUUUAGCCUAUUUAUAGUCUAUUAAUUCAAUCCCGGGGCGUUCUAUACAGUUAUGUAUAAUAAUAUUUAUAUUAUUUAUACCUCUAACUAGAGCGUACCUUGAGCAUAUAUGCUGUGACCCGAAAGAUGGUGAACUAUACUUGAUCAGGUUGAAGUCAGGGGAAACCCUGAUGGAAGACCGAAACAGUUCUGACGUGCAAAUCGAUUGUCAGAAUUGCA
rnacentral:rRNA from 1 species